UGCAUCUGUAUAUACGAGAAG
rnacentral:miRNA from 1 species